CUCCCAAUGAUUCAAGUUAAGCACUGUCUCAUUUUACAUCGCGGGUCUCAUAAAGAUAAUGAUGAGAUAAUGGGUUUCAUGUCUUGUUAGUUGUUUCCCUCCGUGCUCUGUGCGCAGGCUGCCCCACUCACCCCAGCACUUUGCGAGACUUUGUUUUAAACUUGGUGUAGCGGAAGUAACGCUCAACACGGACUGUGCCUAAAGUGGGUGGACCGCAGGUUUUGACUCUUGCCACCGCCUUGAAGCUGGACUCAGGUGCUACAGGAAUAUGGCUUCUCACCAGUAUGGACUCUUAUAUGAGAUUUCAAGUUCAUCAGAUCACUGAACCUUUUCCCGCAUGUGCUACAACAAUGUGGUUUCUCACCUGUGUGACUUCUCAUAUUGUAUCCAGUAGUCUGAGCCGCUCUUCCCCAGUCCAGACGAUGAUUCCUUCAGCCUCCUGCUUCACUACAAGCG